CCUCGAGCAUGGCCCAUCUUUCCUGUCCGUAGAGGACCACCGGUCUUAUUAGCGUUUUGUACAUGAUGCACUUGGUGCGUGGGUGAAUCUUUUUAAACUGCACCUUCUAAACUCUAGAGCGAUUUUGAAGAGUAGGAAUGAGAGUCCUGAGAGUAGAAGAUGAAGAUUGCUAAGAGUAGGAAUGAAGAGAAAAUUAAAUUUAAGAAAAUUUAAUUCUCUUUCAGAUACGCUUAGAUCCGGUAGGUACUUACGAACAAUUUAUAUAAUAAAAUUGAGGAGCUCUUGCUACACCUCCGGUGGACGAUCUUCCGGAUUUUUUGUUAGCUGGCCAAUCCGGUGUCUGUCGGUGUGGGCAUCAAAAAUAAUGUAUUGAUAAUGGAAGCCAUUACCAAUGGAAAAUAACAACUACCAAGGCAAAACAUCAGUGAAUUUUGAAGAUGAAAAAUUGAAUUUUUGAUGUAAACAAACGAUUUUCUCCUCAUCUCACCUAGAGCCUCUACAAUUGGGGGUCAUUCGAAUUCUUCUUUAUUUGCAACCAAGAGUGAGAUGUUUUCCAAGCCAAAAAAAAUUAAAUGAGAUCUUGGUGGUAACCAGAAGCUGGACGAGCGGAUAAGUGAGAUCAACGAGAGCGAUAAUCUCAACACUCUGUGGGAGUCUAUCCACGGAGCGAUGAGUACAGCAGCGCGGGAGGUGAUAGGUACUGCUCAACCUCCAACGCUAGACGAGGUCAAGACAGCCUUUAGGUGACUGAAGAACAACAAGGCUGAUGGGAAGGACGAACUCCCGGUCGAGCUUCUCAAGCACGGUAAUGAGCAGCUGCAUCAACUCUUACACCGUAUUAGAUUGAAGAUGUGGAAGGAGGAAGAAGUGCCUGCUAGUUGGUUGGAUGGUCUCAUUUGCCCUCUUUUCAAGAAAGGGCAUCGACUGGAGUGCGCGAAUUACAGAGGAAUAACACUCGCCAAUUUAGCGUACACGCUCAGAAAACCUUUCUGAUAAACGUGAACAAACAAACGCAAAUAUGAGAACAAGCAAAUAUACACCGUGAACUGGAACUAGUUCCAGCUGUCAAUAUGGGCGUUCUAGAAACCGUGACAUCUAGUUUACGGUGUACAUUUCUUAUUGUUGUUAUCGUUGCUAUGCAUAGUUCCCAUUUGUUCCCGUUGCCAUGACUGGGAGUGCACGUAUAUCGGAACGGAUUUUUUUGCGUGUACAAAAUUUCGUCCGGAGUUCUGUUCCACAAGCUGAGGCCGAUUGAGGAGUCCUUCGUCGGCGAAUAUCAGGCAGGAUUUCGUAAGGGCCGAUCAACGAUGGACCAGAUGUUCACCCUGCGGCAGAUUCUCGAUAAAUUUCGGGAGUACAACUUGCAGACCCAUCAACUGUUUAUUGAUUUCAAGGCGGCGGGCGUACGAUUCAGUUAAGAGAAUGGAUUUCCGGCGAAGCUGAUUAGAUUGAUUCGUGCGACGCUUGACGGAUCGCAAUCAAGUGUACGGGUUGCGGAUGAAAUUUCGUCAUCGUUCGUAACCUUUGACGGACUGAAGCAGGGCGAUGCUCUUUCGAACUUAUUGUUCAACACUGGAAGGAGCGAUAAGGAGAGCUGGUGUGCACAGGAGCGGAACCAUUGCCACAAAGUCGCAUAUGCUCCUGGGCUUCGCGGACGAUAUCGACAUCAUCGGAAUCGACCGUCGGGCCGUGGAAGAGGCGUUCGUACCUUUUAAGAGGGAGACUGCGAGGAUUGGACUUACAAUUAGCACCACAAAGACUAAGUACAUGAUUGCUGGUGUUCAACGUCGAUUCGGCCGUGAUAGUGGUGACGAAGUGGUGCUAGGAGGGGAAAAGUUUGAAGUUGUGGAUGAAUUUGUUUAUCUUGGUACUCUAGUAACGUGCGAUAAUGAUGUUACCCGCGAGGUGAAAAGACGGAUUGCGGCUGCAAAUCAGGCCUUUUUCAGUCUGCGAAACCAGCUGAGGUCCCGCAGGCUGCAAACGAAGACAAAAAUCGCGUGGUACUAGUCUCUGAUUCUCCCGGUCGCUUUAUACGGUCAUGAAACGUGGACGUUGAAAGAAGUUGAUCGGAGAGCCUUUGGAGUCUUCGAACGUAAAGUGCUGCGAACAAAACUCGGCGGUAAACUGGAGGACGGCAUAAAGGUAUAUAAAGAGAUGGAUAUAGUGAAGCGAAUACAACACGACAGGCUGCGGUGGGCUGGACACGGGCUUUUUGCAGUUGAGGAGGACCUUAGUGUAGGAUCGAGGACAUUCUAUAUGCUAUAAUUAAAACACAUUCUUCAAGUAUUACACUUUAUAUUUUCACUCUCCCAGACACACGCUAUCGAAGUCUCACAACCCUCGCUUCGUUCUCCCGGAUCUGACUUGUACACACUGUCGAUCCAUUCAUGACAGGGUUGUCCAAUCUGAUCUACUUAUACAAAGGGCCAAUUCGCUUCUAGACUCUACAUCCCCCCCUUUACAUUAACGACAUUAACUACGUUGAAUCCAGUUAUAUCAAAUGAUAAGAAUCCUGUUGAUCGUCAUUGUUGAGAUGACUCGAUGACGUUCCUCACAAUGCCUCCGUUAUUGUGCUCCGUUUCACUUGCUACAGUGAGCUACGUCUCCGACGGAUUCCGUUGAGCUUCGUCUUCUUCCAGGGUACAGACCCACUGCAACCAUACGUUCAACCGUAUUAAAUUCUUCAGGAGCGAAUGUUCACCCAGGUUUGUUUGGUACAAUUAUUCGCUCAAAACCAACAGUAUACAUUCCCCUCAGCUAAAAAUAGUUUUAAUUUAAUUCUUCUCCCGGUCGGUUAUCGUGUAGCUCCUCCACUUUUUUCAUACAGAUGUUUCGUUCAAUAUGACAGCUUAUAAAAAAGGGACCAUGAAUACAACUCCAGUUGUACGUGCGAUGCAGAUGUCAGCAGAAAGGAUCUCUAGUCCCAGACCUAGUAGAAACUGUCAGAAUCUUGCUGCAGCUUAAGCAUGUGCUUGUUGUUCAGUUCAAUUUCCCCAUUUGCUUUAUCGUAGUUCUGAGUAGAUCCUCUAGUCCUUGCAAUAUUGUAUGAUGCUUUCACAACAAAAUGGGCCUCCAACUUCCAGAGGAGAUCCAAGAUUAUCGCGACGAAUCAGGCACUGACCAAUCCAAAUGCCUCUACUCGUGCUUGUGUUAGAACCUGCUUGCUUAAUGGUUGGCGAUGCUUUCACCUGCGACGGAUUCAUAUCGUCGCAUUCGAUAAGGUGGAAAAUUAACAAUACCUCUUUGUUCCUUCGUAACUAGUGGUCCAUUAUUCGACUUGAACGUCUUGUGCAAAGCCCUCUCAUACGUUUCCGUGCAGUCUGCAGCAUGAAAACAGUUUCAACGAAGCUGAUGAAGUAACGGUGGUUAUACAUUACAUUACAUUACAUUUACUGCAAUAUCUGAUUAGUGUCAGUUUUAUUUCUCUAAAUUCCGUAUCGUUCCAAAUUACGUUGCCUUGUAUAUGCUUCUAGUUGGUACAAUUAACUCCUAUUUAUGUAUACAUCUCACUACGGCCUAAUCAAAAUUAUUCGGUGUUGCUUCGUUCGGCUUGGCAAGAAUUGUAGAUGUGACUGCUUGCAGAUACAGCUCAUUUUUUUACUUGGCCACUUGGAAUGGUUUCAGAAAGAUCUGGUUUAUAGCGAACACUUGGCAUAACCUUUCCAACACUGCAGACCAUGACACAGAAAACUUAUAACCUACUAGCUUAAAAAAUCCUAUACAUUCUCUAAACAUUCAACAUUUUGACGAUUUUUUUUCCAAAACUCGCACAACGACAUAUUAUGUAAUAUAGUAACAUGGUAUAGUAUCGUGCUCAUUUCAAGUUCUACCAUCGACAACAAAUGUCGGCCGAGGUCCAAGUCUGUAUUCUACACAUAACCUUCUGCAACAACUCAGGUGUAGUUUAGUCCAAAUAUUGAUAGCUUAUAUCUUAAACAUGUCAUGUUUUGUUUUAAAAGUUGUUACGGUCACGAAAGCUAUGAGAUCUCUAUCUAGUGAUAGGCAUUUCUAAUGUCGAUCUGCGAGAAUUUUACUGAGUCAUUCAUGUAACCCAAACAUUUACCAAACAGCUAUAUUUAGUAUUAGUCUUACCUAUACCUGCACUAUCUGUGACUGUGCUUAUCUCACUCCUAAAUCAUAAUCUCUGCGAAACGUUCUGAGCAAAACAUUGAUUUUGUGUUUUUAUUUGAUUUUCAUUUAAUAUUUAUGAAAUGUGAAUUUUUAAUUUCCUUGAACGAUGAAAAGAUUCUUCCCAGGGUUCUUUAUUUUCUUCCACGCCUCAAUCCAUCUUAUUAUUCUUUUGUGUCAUGAAAAUACUCUUUGCUUAAAAAAAGUCUAGGAAACCCCUACCACGAAACAUUCCUUGACCGACUGAAAAUCUAACUCGUUAGUCUCAGAAUGGUUCCACCGCACACCCUCACCUACUUUGCGUCAGCAAUAUGGGUCUUAUUGUAGUAAUUUCGCGAAUUUUUGGAGCAACAAUCCAUUUAACGAUUCACUCAUUUACAAACGCUGAACUUUUUGAUGUAAAUGAUGUCUUUGAUAUGUUUCACGACGGAACGGCUCGUAAUAAUUGUUCAAGUAUUUAAUCACAAUGCCCAUGUAAUGUGGAUGAUUAAUAACUCAUAUUCACCUCAUGCAUAACCUUAAAAGAACUAUGUUUCUAAUGCACAGGCAUUUCUCUCUUGGUAGAAAACCACAUUUUUUUUGUGAUACACAACACGGUACACAACCAUAGAUAACCAGCUAUUGAUAGUAUUAUGACGUUGAACUCAUCUAAAGUGUUGAUCAUCCAAUCUCUAUGCUUACACAAAACCAUUAAAACUCUAAACGAAAUAAUAUCUCCUUUGGUACAAAAACCAUUUUAAUUUUGAUUUAGAAACAAUUAACAUUUGAUACAAAAAGUACGGUCUGACAGACUCUUUUGAUACAACCCAACUUUCGUUCAGUACAAAAUUAUUAUACGAUUCAACACAUCACAUUGGUACAGAACCUUUUUUUUCGAACAAAACCAUUUGAUAUAUGGUAUAAAAACGAUUCACAUAUGGUACUAACCCAUCUGAAUACGGUCUGACAAACAUCAGACAACUAUCUCUCUUUUGGUACAAAACCAUCUGCAUUUUUAUCUUUUGGUACAAUACUAACUAAUAAACGUUCUCACACAUUAUUCUUUACAUACAAAACCGCUCAACAUUUGGUAUAAACCCAUAUUCUUUUGGUACAAAACAUUUCACAUUUAAAACAAAAUCAUUUCCCUUAUGGUACAAAACCAUUUCACUUUUGAUAUAUAACUAUUUCUCUUUCGGACAAAACCAUUUCACAAUUGGUACAAAACCAUUUUUCUUUUGGUACAAAACCAUUUCACAUUUGGUACAUAACCAUUUCACAUUUGGUACAAAACCAUUUCACAUUUGGUACAAAACUAUUCCUCUUUUGGUGCAAAACCAUUGCACAAUUGGUACAUAACCAUUUCACAUAUGGUACAAAACCAUGUCACAUUUAGUACAUCCCCAUUUCACAUUUGGUACAAAACCAUUUCUCUGUUGGUACAAAACCAUUGCACAUUUGGUACAUAACCAUUUCACAUCUGGUACAAAACCAUUUCACAUUUGGUACAUAACCAUUUCACAUUUGGUACAAAACCAUUUCACAUUUGGUAUAAAACUAUUUCUCUUUUGGUACAAAACCAUUGCACAUUUGGAACAUAACAAUUUCACAUUUGGUACAAAACCAUUUCACAUUUGGAACAUCACCAUUUCACAUUUGGUACAAAACCAUUUCUCUGUUGGUACAAACGCAUUUCACUUUUGAUACAAUUUUUUUUCACAUUUGGUACGACACCAUUUCUUUUAUGAAACAAAACCAUUUCGCAUUGAGUGCAAAACUAUUUCUUUAUUGGUAUAAAACCACUACACAUUUGGUAUGAAAACAUCUCUGUUUUGUUAGCAAUUUAUCCCGUUUGGUACUAAAUCAUGAUACAUACACAUUUUAAUGAAUGUGACUUUAUAGGGCAUUAAUAAUGAAUGCAUUGUCUCAUAGUAAAUAUACAGAUACAUAACCUUUUACAUCAAUUGUCACUUCAAACGACAUAGACUUCAAGCGUGAACAAACCCAAUCAUUUUAUCACAACUCACAUAAAAUUUGUUUUCGAAACAGUCAAUAAUUGUGUCAUGAAAAUAACAUUUACCCCACUGUGAGUUUUUGUCUUUUUCACUUUGCAUCCAGAGAGGGACCUACGCCCACCUACAAUCGCACAAAUUACGCCUACUCAUCAUCGAGCGAGUCCGACCAAACAAUACAAAACAAAACCGCGGCCAUGUCAGACGGCAGCACAACAAACUGAUGGGCAUAUAGUCAACGCAACUAGCCCUACACACCAGCGACUGACAGCUGAUGGCCGCGACCAGAAAAGAAGAACACAACAAACUCAACCACGCAUAAAAGGAAUUUCCAGCCAACAUCAAACACUUACAAAAAGAUUUGCAUUUCUUGCUGCUUGCACCAUCCUGCUACUCCCAUCAACAACGUCGGAACAAAAUUCAAUAAAACCAUUACAUAACCGCGAAGGAUGCUCCUUCGUGCGCUCCCUACUUCCUUCUUCUCUUAAAAAAGUUUUUUUUUUUUUUGGUACUCACCGCCGCAGCAACAUAGACAACCUUUUACCUUCUGAGCAGCAGAACCACCAGCAGCGAUCCCAGCAGGCCGUCGGUCAAAUGCUGACAAUCGACCGAAUUCGAAGCCCAUUCACAUUUUAUCGUUUUCACUAUUUGGAUCACUUUUUCUUUAUUACUCUUCACUAACUGUGCUUUUUUGUCCUCGUCGCCAAAAUGUAGGAUCGAGGACAUUCUAUAUGCUAUAAUUAAAACACAUUCUUCAAGUA